rnacentral:piRNA from 1 species
AUUCACUUCAAUGUAAGAGGA